CACACACACACACACACACACAAAUUGUAUCUGGGAGCAGCAAGAAGAUUUAUGUUCUCUUUUUUCACUAGCAACUCUGUCGGUUGUUGAUGAUCAAUGUUUCGCAAGAGUCUUUUCAGAAGAUUGUACGGUCGGAGAGCGUGGAUUCAAUGUAGUGAAUCCUAUUAUGAACUGAACAUGGAGUUACAUAAAUAGAAGUUGAGCAAGAACCAUGGAUUUGAUCCAUCUGUCUUUCGCAAGCUUUUCUAAUGAAGAUGCUCGCGUUCGAUGGCAGCCUGUGGAUGCUAUCGAACUAUUACGAUGUGGUUCUAAAGGGCUUAACGAGGAAGCAUGGGGCUUAAAGAUGUUACUCCAUCGAUAUAAACCCGAACCAGACUUUCUACUCGAAUGGAUCUCGAAAUCUGCUUAAACUCCAUCCCAGGGCCAUCUCGGAGUUGUCUUAGGCCCUAAGCAAAAAAAUUAAAUUAUAGGCCCCUAAACAUAUUAUUAAAUUUAUUUUUAAAAUAAUACUGAUGAUAAAUAUAAUAAUAAAUUCUACAAAAAUAAAAAUUAUUUAAUCAUAUAUCUAAUAAAAAAGCAUAAGCACAAAGUGUAUCAUAAAAAUAAAUAAUAUCAUGAUUAUUGUAAAACCAAUAGUGGUAUAAUAAUAAUAAUAACAACACUAAUAAUAUUAUUAUGAACUCCAAAUGUAUUUUUAUUGCAAAAUCUUUUUAUAAAUAAAGAAAAAUAAAAAUAAAUUUAAGUUAAAUUUUAACAGGUAGGGUGUGCGGGUGAAAAAUAAU